ACACUCCUACGGGAGGCAGCAGUAGGGAAUCUUCGGCAAUGGGGGCAACCCUGACCGAGCAACGCCGCGUGAGUGAAGAAGGUUUUCGGAUCGUAAAGCUCUGUUGUAAGUCAAGAACGAGUGUGAGAGUGGAAAGUUCACACUGUGACGGUAGCUUACCAGAAAGGGACGGCUAACUACGUGCCAGCAGCCGCGGUAAUACGUAGGUCCCGAGCGUUGUCCGGAUUUAUUGGGCGUAAAGCGAGCGCAGGCGGUUUGAUAAGUCUGAAGUUAAAGGCUGUGGCUCAACCAUAGUUCGCUUUGGAAACUGUCAAACUUGAGUGCAGAAGGGGAGAGUGGAAUUCCAUGUGUAGCGGUGAAAUGCGUAGAUAUAUGGAGGAACACCGGUGGCGAAAGCGGCUCUCUGGUCUGUAACUGACGCUGAGGCUCGAAAGCGUGGGGAGCGAACAGGAUUAGAUACCCUAGUAGUCCC
rnacentral:rRNA from 1 species